rnacentral:rRNA from 1 species
GACGCUGGCGGCGUGCCUGAUACAUGCAAGUCGAGCGGACCAAAGGGAGCUUGCUCCUGGAGGUUAGCGGCGAACGGGUGAGUAACACGUGGGCAACCUGCCUGUAAGACUGGGAUAACAUCGAGAAAUCGGUGCUAAUACCGGAUAAUAAAAAGAACUGCAUGGUUCUUUUUUGUAAAGAUGGUUUCGGCUAUCACUUACAGAUGGGCCCGCGGCGCAUUAGCUAGUUGGUGAGGUAACGGCUCACCAAGGCGACGAUGCGUAGCCGACCUGAGAGGGUGAUCGGCCACACUGGGACUGAGACACGGCCCAGACUCCUACGGGAGGCAGCAGUAGGGAAUCUUCCGCAAUGGACGAAAGUCUGACGGAGCAACGCCGCGUGAGUGAUGAAGGUUUUCGGAUCGUAAAACUCUGUUGUUAGGGAAGAACAAGUGCCGUUCGAAAGGGCGGCACCUUGACGGUACCUAACGAGAAAGCCACGGCUAACUACGUG